AGGUUUGGAUAGUUGAAAGAGUAGUUUGAAAAGUUUUAGAUAUUAUUAAAAUGAUUUUUAUUGGAAGCCAUUUUUCAAUGAAGAUAGGAAAAUAUAGAAACUGGUGUUUAUGAAAGGCUAAGAUGAUUUAUUAGGACGAAAGUAGGAUAAGAAGGAUAGAUACCGUCAGCUAGAUAAUACAUCAUAUUGUAAGGCCGUUGGUUCACGAAUAAGUUCACUCUUGGAGUAUUUCCUUGUUCAACAUAAUCGAACACUAGUGAAUGAUCUAGAACGUUUCUAUCGUUCAAUGUGCCUGGACAUCCAAAAAAUGCAUGCCAGAUCUAUAGAUCAUGGGUUGUGACCGCUUCAAGAAUAACAGUGGUAGUUCCCUUAUCUCCCCGGGUAUAUUGUCCUUUCCACGCUUUAGGACAUUUUUUUCAUUCCAAUGCAUGCAAUCAAUACUUCCAAUCAUCCCCGGGAACCCUCACGUUUCACUAACAUGCAAAAUUCUUUGCAGAUCAUCUUCAGUUUGGGUCCUGAGAUACACUUGCUCGUACAAUUGUAUGAUUCCGAAUUUUUGGGUCUUGUAGUCCUUAUAGUUAUUUUGUAUUUUCUUGUAUUUUUUUUGGUCCUUAUAGUUAUUUUUUGUCAUAAAUAUUAGUAACUUUUGUUAAUAUCAAUUACUAUAAUACAAAUAAAUAAACUUUUAAGGAGUUUUUUCAGGAUUUAUGGUUGAAGUAACCAACCCUCAAAUCCUCAUUUUGAAGUUUUGCUCCCCUUUAAAACGAGGUCUUGGGUUGGUGAUGCUCUUAGAAAGGUUUUUGUUGGGAUUCAUUUUUCAAUGAAGAUAGAAAAUAUAGAAACGAGAGUUUAUGAAAGGCUAAAGAUUUUUUUUUCUGUGUCCAAAUCUAAUGAAACAAAUAUCUUUUUAUAGUGUGAAAAAUUAUAAAUUUCGAUAUAAUUGUUUUUU
rnacentral:lncRNA from 1 species